UUUAAAAAAAAACGUAUUAUAGUUUCACCCUUGGCUGGCGGGCGGCGUCCACAGCAGUGUCCGCUCUCUAAUUCAAAUAGUUUUCAUCCGAUCUUCACCAAACUUGGUCAGAAGUUGUGUCUAGACAAUAUCUAGGUCAAGUUCGAAUAUGGGUCAUACUGGGUCAAAAACUAGGUCACGGGGUCACUUAGUGCAUUUCAAGCAUUUAGCAUGGUGUCCGCUCUCUAAUUGAAGUAGUUUUCACCCAAUCUUCACCAAAUUUGGUCAGAAGUUGUGUCUAGAUGAUAUGAAGGUCAAGUUCAAAUAUGGGUCAUGCCGGGUCAAAAACUAGGUCACGAGGUCACUUAGUGCAUUUCAAGCAUUUAGCAUGGUGUCCGCUCUCUAAUUGAAGUAGUUUUCAUCUGAUCUUCACCAAAUUUGGUCAGAAGUUGUGUCUAGAUGAUAUGUAGGUCAAGUUCAAAUAUGGGUCAUGCCCGGUCAAAAACGAGGUCACGAGGUCACUUAGUGCAUUUCAAGCAUUUAGCAUGGUGUCCGCUCUCUAAUUGAAGUAGUUUUCAUCUGAUCUUCACCUAAUUUGGUCAGAAGUUGUGUCUAGAUGAUAUGUAGGCCAAGUUCGAAUAUGGGUCAUGCCGAGUCAAAAACGAGGUCACGAGGUUACUUAGUGCAUUUCAAGCAUUUAGCAUGGUGUCCGCUCUCUAAUUGAAGUAGUUUUUAUCUGAUCUUCACCUAAUUUGGUCAGAAGUUGUGUUUAGAUGAUAUGUAGGUCUAGUUCAAAUAUGGGUCAUGCAGGGUCAAAAACCAGGUCAUGAGGUCACUUAGUGCAUUUCAAGCAUUUAGAAUGGUGUCCACUCUCUAAUUGAAGUAGUUUUCAUCCGAUCUUCACCUACUUUGGUCAGAAGUUGUGUCUAGAUGAUAUGUAGGUGAUGUUCAAAUAUGGGUCAUGCCAGGUCAAAAACAAGGUCACGAGGUUACUUAGUGCAUUUCAAGCAUUUAGCAUGGUGUCCACUCUUUAAUUGAAGUAGUUUUUAUCCGAUCUACACUUAAUUUGGUCAGAAGUUGUGUCUAGAUGAUAUGUAGGUCAAGUUCAAAUAUGGGUCAUGCCAGGUCAAAAACGAGGUCAUGAGGUCACUUAGUGCAUUUCAAGCAUUUAGCAUGGUGUCCACUCUCUAAUUGAAGUAGUUUUCAUCCGAUCUUCACCUAAUUUGGUCAGAAGUUGUGUCUAGAUGAUAUGUAGGUCAAGUUCAAAUAUGGGUCAUGCCGGGUCAAAAAGGAGGUCAUGAGGUUACUGAGUGCAUUUCAAGCAUUUAGCAUGGUGUCCGCUCUCUAAUUGAAGUAGUUUUCAUCUGAUCUUCACCAAAUUCAGUCAGAUGUUACGUCUCAAUGAUAUCUAGGUCAAGUUCAAAUAUGGGUCAUGCCGGGUCAAAAACUAGGUCUCGAGGUCACUUAGUGCAUUUCAAGCAUUGAGCAUGGUGUCCAAAACCUUCAAACUGGCGUAUCUUGUGACAGUUUGGCACUCUUGUAUAGGUUAUUUUACUAUAAUUUCUUCAUUUCUACACUGAUUGUCUUCAAAUUGAUACCAAACCUCUCUUAUGACAAUACGGUCAAUCUCAACUAUGCAUGGCCCCAUUACCAACCCUGGGGCACCCCGCCCACAUAGGCCACGCCCACCCAAAAUUGCAGUUUUACUAUAAUUUCUUCAUUUCUACACCGAUUCACUUCAAAUUGAUACGGAACCUUUUUUAUGACAAUACGGUCAAUCUCAACUAUGCAGGACCCCAUUACCAACCCUGGGGCGCCACGCCCACCUAAAUUUGCCUUUUACUAUUAUUUCUUCAUUUCUACACCAAUUCACUUCAAAUCGAUACUUAACCUCUCUUAUGACAAUACGGUUAAUCUCAACUAUGCAUGGCCCCAUUACCAACUCUGGGACACCCCUCCCACAUAGGCCAUGCCCACCCAAAAUUGCCUUUUACUAUAAUUUCUUCAUUUCUACACCUAUUCCCUUCAAAUUUAUACUGAACCUCUUUUAUGACAAUACAGUCAAUCUCAACUAUGCAUGGCCCCAUUACCAACCCUGGGGCGCCCCGCCCACAUAGGCCACACCCACCCAAAAUUGCCUUUUACUAUAAUUUCUUCAUUUCUACACCGAUUUACUUCAAAUUGAUACUGAACCUCUCUUAUGACAAUACGGUCAAUCUCAACUAUGUAUGGCCCCAUUACCAACCCUGGGGCACCCCGCCCACAUAGGCC